rnacentral:rRNA from 1 species
UACGGAGGGUGCGAGCGUUGUCCGGAAUCACUGGGCGUAAAGGGCGCGUAGGUGGCGCGACAAGUCAACGGUGAAAGCCCGGGGCUCAACCCCGGGUCGGCCGUCGAUACUGUUGGGCUUGAGCACUGUAGAGGCAGGUGGAAUUCCGGGUGUAGCGGUGGAAUGCGUAGAGAUCCGGAAGAACACCGGUGGCGAAGGCGGCCUGCUGGGCAGUAGCUGACGCUGAGACGCGAAAGCGUGGGGAGCAAACAGG